GGGUUGUGAGGUUAAGCGACUAAGCGUACACGGUGGAUGCCCUGGCAGUCAGAGGCGAUGAAGGACGUGCUAAUCUGCGAUAAGCGUCGGUAAGGUGAUAUGAACCGUUAUAACCGGCGAUUUCCGAAUGGGGAAACCCAGUGUGAUUCGUCACACUAUCAUUAACUGAAUCCAUAGGUUAAUGAGGCGAACCGGGGGAACUGAAACAUCUAAGUACCCCGAGGAAAAGAAAUCAACCGAGAUUCCCCCAGUAGCGGCGAGCGAACGGGGAGCAGCCCAGAGCCUGAAUCAGUGUGUGUGUUAGUGGAAGCGUCUGGAAAGGCGCGCGAUACAGGGUGACAGCCCCGUACACAAAAAUACACAUACUGUGAGCUCGAUGAGUAGGGCGGGACACGUGGUAUCCUGUCUGAAUAUGGGGGGACCAUCCUCCAAGGCUAAAUACUCCUGACUGACCGAUAGUGAACCAGUACCGUGAGGGAAAGGCGAAAAGAACCCCGGCGAGGGGAGUGAAAAAGAACCUGAAACCGUGUACGUACAAGCAGUGGGAGCACGCUUAGGCGUGUGACUGCGUACCUUUUGUAUAAUGGGUCAGCGACUUAUAUUCUGUAGCAAGGUUAACCGAAUAGGGGAGCCGAAGGGAAACCGAGUCUUAACUGGGCGUUAAGUUGCAGGGUAUAGACCCGAAACCCGGUGAUCUAGCCAUGGGCAGGUUGAAGGUUGGGUAACACUAACUGGAGGACCGAACCGACUAAUGUUGAAAAAUUAGCGGAUGACUUGUGGCUGGGGGUGAAAGGCCAAUCAAACCGGGAGAUAGCUGGUUCUCCCCGAAAGCUAUUUAGGUAGCGCCUCGUGAAUUCAUCUCCGGGGGUAGAGCACUGUUUCGGCAAGGGGGUCAUCCCGACUUACCAACCCGAUGCAAACUGCGAAUACCGGAGAAUGUUAUCACGGGAGACACACGGCGGGUGCUAACGUCCGUCGUGAAGAGGGAAACAACCCAGACCGCCAGCUAAGGUCCCAAAGUCAUGGUUAAGUGGGAAACGAUGUGGGAAGGCCCAGACAGCCAGGAUGUUGGCUUAGAAGCAGCCAUCAUUUAAAGAAAGCGUAAUAGCUCACUGGUCGAGUCGGCCUGCGCGGAAGAUGUAACGGGGCUAAACCAUGCACCGAAGCUGCGGCAGCGACGCUUAUGCGUUGUUGGGUAGGGGAGCGUUCUGUAAGCCUGCGAAGGUGUGCUGUGAGGCAUGCUGGAGGUAUCAGAAGUGCGAAUGCUGACAUAAGUAACGAUAAAGCGGGUGAAAAGCCCGCUCGCCGGAAGACCAAGGGUUCCUGUCCAACGUUAAUCGGGGCAGGGUGAGUCGACCCCUAAGGCGAGGCCGAAAGGCGUAGUCGAUGGGAAACAGGUUAAUAUUCCUGUACUUGGUGUUACUGCGAAGGGGGGACGGAGAAGGCUAUGUUGGCCGGGCGACGGUUGUCCCGGUUUAAGCGUGUAGGCUGGUUUUCCAGGCAAAUCCGGAAAAUCAAGGCUGAGGCGUGAUGACGAGGCACUACGGUGCUGAAGCAACAAAUGCCCUGCUUCCAGGAAAAGCCUCUAAGCAUCAGGUAACAUCAAAUCGUACCCCAAACCGACACAGGUGGUCAGGUAGAGAAUACCAAGGCGCUUGAGAGAACUCGGGUGAAGGAACUAGGCAAAAUGGUGCCGUAACUUCGGGAGAAGGCACGCUGAUAUGUAGGUGAAGUCCCUCGCGGAUGGAGCUGAAAUCAGUCGAAGAUACCAGCUGGCUGCAACUGUUUAUUAAAAACACAGCACUGUGCAAACACGAAAGUGGACGUAUACGGUGUGACGCCUGCCCGGUGCCGGAAGGUUAAUUGAUGGGGUCAGCGCAAGCGAAGCUCUUGAUCGAAGCCCCGGUAAACGGCGGCCGUAACUAUAACGGUCCUAAGGUAGCGAAAUUCCUUGUCGGGUAAGUUCCGACCUGCACGAAUGGCGUAAUGAUGGCCAGGCUGUCUCCACCCGAGACUCAGUGAAAUUGAACUCGCUGUGAAGAUGCAGUGUACCCGCGGCAAGACGGAAAGACCCCGUGAACCUUUACUAUAGCUUGACACUGAACAUUGAGCCUUGAUGUGUAGGAUAGGUGGGAGGCUUUGAAGUGUGGACGCCAGUCUGCAUGGAGCCGACCUUGAAAUACCACCCUUUAAUGUUUGAUGUUCUAACGUUGACCCGUAAUCCGGGUUGCGGACAGUGUCUGGUGGGUAGUUUGACUGGGGCGGUCUCCUCCUAAAGAGUAACGGAGGAGCACGAAGGUUGGCUAAUCCUGGUCGGACAUCAGGAGGUUAGUGCAAUGGCAUAAGCCAGCUUGACUGCGAGCGUGACGGCGCGAGCAGGUGCGAAAGCAGGUCAUAGUGAUCCGGUGGUUCUGAAUGGAAGGGCCAUCGCUCAACGGAUAAAAGGUACUCCGGGGAUAACAGGCUGAUACCGCCCAAGAGUUCAUAUCGACGGCGGUGUUUGGCACCUCGAUGUCGGCUCAUCACAUCCUGGGGCUGAAGUAGGUCCCAAGGGUAUGGCUGUUCGCCAUUUAAAGUGGUACGCGAGCUGGGUUUAGAACGUCGUGAGACAGUUCGGUCCCUAUCUGCCGUGGGCGCUGGAGAACUGAGGGGGGCUGCUCCUAGUACGAGAGGACCGGAGUGGACGCAUCACUGGUGUUCGGGUUGUCAUGCCAAUGGCACUGCCCGGUAGCUAAAUGCGGAAGAGAUAAGUGCUGAAAGCAUCUAAGCACGAAACUUGCCCCGAGAUGAGUUCUCCCUGACUCCUUGAGAGUCCUGAAGGAACGUUGAAGACGACGACGUUGAUAGGCCGGGUGUGUAAGCGCAGCGAUGCGUUGAGCUAACCGGUACUAAUGAACCGUGAGGCUUAACCUUACAACGCCGAAG
rnacentral:rRNA from 1 species